rnacentral:ncRNA from 1 species
AUUUCCCAGGUCUGUGGUUGAAAAUCGAUGCCAGUCGCAGGCAAAACGAUCCACGUAAGCAAAGCAAAGCUUUGUGAGCAUGGUGCGGCUUAGGAGUAAGUCCGUCCAGGUUAUACCUGAGAGGAGCUGUAGUGAGGGGCUUAAUAGCUUGAGCGAAACUUCCAGACGGCGAGUGUGGGGGCAAAGACCAGGUCAGCUGUGGAAA